ACAUGUCAGUGACUUAACGUUUUUACUGUGUAUUUAUGAGUAGCCGUCCUUACUUUUUAACAGUUUGUUAGUUUGCACUUAAGUUAGCUGAAAGUAAUUAGCGACCGUCAAUUAGGGUUAGCUUGUGCUGAGUUUGUUAGCUCUUGGUUAGCUUGUGCUGAGUUUGUGUUAGCUCGGGUUAGCUUGUGCUGAGUUUGUGUUAGCUCGGGUUAGCUUGUGCUGAGUUUGUGUUAGCUCUUGGUUAGCUUGUGCUGAGUUUGUGUUAGCUCGGGUUAGCUUGUGCUGAGUUUGUGUUAGCUCUUGGUUAGCUUGUGCUGAGUUUGUGUUAGCUCGGGUUAGCUUGUGCUGAGUUUGUGUUAGCUCUUGGUUAGCUUGUGCUGAGUUUGUGUUAGCUCGGGUUAGCUUGUGCUGAGUUUGUGUUAGCUCUUGGUUAGCUUGUGCUGAGUUUGUGUUAGCUCGGGUUAGCUUGUGCUGAGUUUGUGUUAGCUCAGGUUAGCUUGUACAAGCUUCUCUUAACAAAGGUAUUGGUCAGCUGCCCGUGAGAGACUGUCGCUGUGCUUCAUUACAGCUGUUUUAUUAGGAGUUACUGGAACUAACAGCUGGAUACAGCCCUGUUUGUGAAGCUGGAGAUGCGACCAGCGGCGCGGGAGUGUGGCAUACCCGACUCCAGAGCUCCAGAGGACGCUGAGAGGGAUUUAUUGGAGGUCAAGGAAGUGAUGCAAUCUGGAGAUGACAUUCCUGGGAAACCCUUGCUGUGUGUGGGCGAUCAUUAUCUUGCUAAAAAAUACCAGCUGCAAGUCCUGUUUUGAGAGUGGGCCGAUUUCAAACUGACCUUCACCUGCUGAACCCUGAGCUGAAGACUCACCUGCAGAGCCCACACACCAUCUGCUGAAUCCACACAGCUUUAAUUCUACACACAGGGCUCUACAGUCACUGUGUGCUCUGCUGCCACUUGUAGGAGUUGCAGGAGAAAUGAACUGUAGAUAAAUGUUCUCACACAGUUGUAGCUGCACCAUACUUGCAGUGUAGGAAUGCAAUGAUCUUUGAUUCUUAUUAAGAUUCUUAUUAUUAUUUAGUUGCCCAUUUGUUCUUCUAUCCAGGUCAAAAGCUGACCUAUGCAAAAUGCUCUGUGCUUAAAAUUAGAAUUUCUAUGACAAAAGACUGUUUCUAAUUAAAUCUAGAGAUGCACAGUUUAUGGCCAAAAUAAUAAAAAAUACUGAGAACUUGACAAAUUGUUCAUUCAUAUUGACACUUUUUUAAAUUUUGCUAAGUUAUAAAGAGCUUCACUCAUGCAGGUUGCAACUUGGACAAGUCAUUAAAAAAUAAUUUGUUCCAUAUAAAUUAUUCCAUCUUAAAUGAUUAUUUGACAUUUUGGCUGAAUAUUUUUGGUUACUAAAUAUUUGGUGCCUCCUUAAUACAUAAACAUUGCACAUUUUAAAAGUAUUAUAACCUUUCAGCAGCAUCAAUUAAGAAUACUUGUGCAACUACUUCACUUACUAUGAUUAUUAAUUAUGUUUAUAACAUCAGUAAUGCAGGCUAGUUAAAAUGAGGUUGCUAUUGUCUGUCAGUAUCCCUGAAAGGGAAUGAAUAAAAUACACAUGUACUGAGUUAAAGAUGAAUGUUUUUUAAAAGCCUGAAGAAUAUAAUAUUAAUUUGAAGACAGUCAAAAAAUGUUUAGAUACAUAUACAGUGCUCUGAAUACAUCUGUGAAUGUUAAGCUACUUAUCUGGACACCAAUUAUUUUUGAAAGAAAAAAAACCCCACUACAAUUAGAAUACAUUUAUAAAAUCAGUUCAUAUUAAUAUUAACAGUACAAAUGAUUUAAGUGCAGUAUUUACAGUUCCCACCCAACACUCACUUUAUCUAAUCACUCCUUUAUUAAAGUAAAUCAGGUGAGCUGCUGGUGGAGCUGAAGUCCAUAAAGUGGCUGGAGUUCAAACAUAUUUAUUCUGUUAUUAUGUGUUUUACAGGGUAAGUGAGAACUGCUAAGAAGAAAGAUUUUUAUGGAGUAGUUAAAACUUUUGGGUAGUACUGGAUUACAUACUCUUAUGUUUAGGAUCUGUUUUGGAUGCAUUUGUGGAAUUGAACCUUUCUGAAUGUGUGUGAAUAACCACAAGAAAAGACUUAAAAUGCCAACAGUACAAUACAAAGUGUUGUAGUGUUGGUGGAGGAUAAAGAUUGGUGAGUGUUUUUCAGAUGUUCAACAGCACAUUGUAUUCCCUAUAUACUUUACUAUUAAACUCCCACAAAGCAUCGCAAAAUGACAAUGUAUGCAAGAAUUUCUAAUGUAUACCAUAAUGCACUGUGGUGGUCCUCAGAACCGCACAAACAAAGAUAGUUUGGUCAUUCCCUAGUCAGUUCACUAUAUAGAAAAUGCUGCCUAGUGAAUGAGUUAAUAAGCAAACCAUUCUUAACACAGCUUGUCUAAUUGCUGUAGAAAAGUAAAAGUGCCUUUCCACUUGUCUACUAAAAUGGCUCUCAUAUAAUAAUCUUUUGGAUUGUGUAUCUCUUGGUGAGAGACCACCAACAUAUAUCUAAUACUAUAAUCAUACAUACAUGUAUAAUCAUUACAUUCUCACAAAAAAGUUUCACUUUCACAACUACUUGUAGGCCAGUUAUUUUCACAAAUGAGUAUCUGAGCAUUUUUUGAUGAAUCAGUGUAUUAAUGUUCCCUUAAAAGUAUGUUAAGUAGAUGAGUAAAAAAAAAAUUGGGAUUAGUGGCAGUUAUUAUGUUUAAGUAAUACUAGCCUAUCAUCACCUAUUGCAAAGUAAAGGUUAUCUUAGGUAAGAAAUGUUUUUGAUGACUGACUUAAUUUGUGGUUUGUGAUGCAUUGCAGACAUUUAUGUUGUUUUGCUAAUCUAUUCCUUGAAGUGUUUUAAAGGGAUAAAAAAAUAAAAUAAAAUACUAUGUCUUUCAAA